rnacentral:rRNA from 1 species
CGGGGGGGGCGAAGCGUUGUUCGGAAUUACUGGGCGUAAAGGGCUCGUAGGCGGCCAACUAAGUCGGACGUGAAAUCCCCAGGCUCAACCUGGGAACUGCGUCCGAUACUGGAUGGCUUGAAUCCGGGAGAGGGAUGCAGAAUUCCAGGUGUAGCGGUGAAAUGCGUAGAUAUCUGGAGGAAUACCGGUGGCGAAGGCGGCAUCCUGGACCGGCAUUGACGCUGAGGAGCGAAAGCCAGGGGAGCAAACGGGAUUAGAUACCCCGGUAGUCCUGGCCCUAAACGAUGAAUGCUUGGUGUAACGGGUAUCGAUCCCUGUUGUGCCGAAGCUAACGCAUUAAGCAUUCCGCCUGGGGAGUACGGUCGCAAGGCUG